AUUGAACGCUGGCGGCAGGCCUAACACAUGCAAGUCGAACGAUUGGCGGACGGGUGAGUAAUGUCUGGGAAACUGCCAGAUGGAGGGGGCUAACUACUGGAACCGGUAGCUAAUACCGCAUACCAUCGGAUGUGCCCAGAUGGGAGUAGCUAGUAGGUGGGGUAACGGCUCACCUAGGCGACGAUCCCUAGCUGGUCUGAGAGGAUGACCAGCCACACUGUAACAGAGACACGGUCCAGACUCCUACGGGAGUCAGCAUUGGGGAAUAUGGCACAAUGGGCGCAAGCCUGAUGCAGCCAUGCCGCGUGAAUGAAGAAGGCCUGCGGGUUUUAAAGUACUUUCAGCGAGGAGGCGUUACUCGCAUAUGAAGCAUCGGCUAACUCCGUGCCAGCCGCCGCGGUAAUAC
rnacentral:rRNA from 1 species